rnacentral:tRNA from 1 species
GGCCCUAUAGUCUAGUGGUAAAACGACUCGUUUACACCGAGUAGUCCGCAGUUCGAUUCUGCGUGGGGCCA